rnacentral:tRNA from 1 species
GGUGCUGUGGCUUAAGUGGUAGAGCGCUUAGCUUUGAACUAAAGAGCUCAAGGACAGCGCCC